UCGUGCAACGCGGGACGCUAGGGGUGUCCUGUAACCCGAAACCCUCUACAGGCGGGGCGGACGCCCGUCGAAGGAUGCCGAGAUGGCGGGAAACCGGAUCGGUACGAGCGAUGAAGGUCAGGCCCAUACGCUACCUAACCCUCGCCAACCGGGUCAGGUCCGGGAGGAAGCAGCCCUAAACGAAGGAAUCGGUUGCCGUAAGGUCACCGGGCCCGAGCCACCGGCCGCUCCAGGCCCCAAAAUCCGCACUCGACGACGGGCCGCACGG
rnacentral:SRP_RNA from 2 species